UCAUCUCAUCUGGAAGGAGAGAUGGCUUAAAGGGGUAUGCGGGCUUCUUCUGCGUAUCUGCUCCAGGAUGGGACUGCGUCCGAUCAGGCUGUUGGCGGGGUAAUGGCCCACCAAACCUGUAACCGGUACGGGCCUUGAGAGAGGUGGCCCGGAGAUGGACACUGAGAGAAGGGUCCAGGUCCUACGGGGCGCAGCAGGCGCGAAACCUUCGCAAUGCGCGAAAGCGUGACGAGGUUAAUCCGAGUGGCCCCCGCUGAGGGGGUCUUUUGUCAGCUGUAAAUAGGCAGGCGAAUAAGGGGAGGGCAAGCCUGGUGUCAGCCGCCGCGGUAAUACCAGCUCCUCGAGUGGUCGGGGCGAUUAUUGGGCCUAAAGCAUCCGUAGCCGGUUCCGUAGGUCCUCUGUUAAAUCCAGCCGCUUAACGGUUGACAUGCAGAGGAUACCGCGGGACUAGGAGGCGGGAGAGGCGGACGGUACUCCGCGUGUAGGGGUAAAAUCCUUUGAUCCGCGGAAGA
rnacentral:rRNA from 1 species